GGCAGUGUAGCCCAGUGGUAGGGCACUUGCUUAGCGUGCAUGAGGCCCUGGGUUCAAUCCCCAGCAUCAUCA